UACGGAGGAGGCAAGCGUUAUCCGGAAUUAUUGGGCGUAAAGAGCUCGUAGGCGGUCUGUCGCGUCGGCUGUGAAAUCCCGAGGCUCAACCUCGGGUCUGCAGUCGAUACGGGCAAACUUGAGUACUGCAGGGGAGACUGGAAUUCCUGGUGUAGCGGUGGAAUGCGCAGAUAUCAGGAGGAACACCGGUGGCGAAGGCGGGUCUCUGGGCAGUAACUGACGCUGAGGAGCGAAAGCGUGGGGAGCGAACAGG
rnacentral:rRNA from 1 species